GCGGGUUGAGCGGAGAGAGUCUUGGCGGCCAUGGCUCCCAACGUCCCCGCGUCUGAAGCGGCCACAGAGUGUCCUAAAGGCAUCCAGGCCGUGCUGCUGGGGCCGCCCGGGGCCGGCAAGGGUACCCAGGCACCCAAAUUGGCCAAAAACUUCUGUGUCUGCCAUUUGGCUACUGGGGACAUGCUGAGGGCCAUGGUGGCGUCUGGCUCAGAACUGGGAAAAAAGCUGAAGGCCACUAUGGAUGCUGGAAAGCUGGUGAGCGAUGAAAUGGUAGUGGAGCUCAUUGAGAAGAAUUUGGAGACCCCUCGAUGCAAGAAUGGUUUUCUUCUAGAUGGCUUCCCUAGGACCGUGAGGCAGGCAGAAAUGCUCGAUGACCUCAUGGAGAAGAGGAAAGAGAAGCUUGACUCUGUGAUUGAAUUCAGCAUCCCGGACUCUCUGCUGAUCCGAAGAAUCACAGGAAGGCUGAUUCACCCUCUGAGUGGCCGUUCCUACCACGAGGAGUUCAACCCCCCAAAGGAACACAUGAAAGAUGACAUCACUGGGGAACCCUUGGUCUGCCGAUCAGAUGAUAAUGAGAAGGCCUUGAAAAUCCGCCUGGAGGCCUACCACACUCAGACCACCCCGCUGGUGGAGUACUACAGGAAACGAGGGAUCCAUUCUGUCAUCGACGCCACCCAGACCCCUGACGUCGUGUUUGCCAGCAUCCUAGCGGCCUUCUCCAAAGCCACAUCCUAGUAACAGAAGGCCAGGCGAGACUGCACCACUCUUCAUCACCCCGCGGCGUGAUCCCUGCUCUUUAGGUGCUGGGCAGAGGGGAGGGGUGGUCAGGGUGAGGAUGGAGAGGGAGGAAUGAGGAGGGCCCAAAAGGAGUAACGAAGAGCAGCAAUGUGGUUGUGAGGCCAUCUCUUUCACACGUCCUAGAGGAGUCUGAGAAAGUACAGAGGAGGGGUGAAAU